ensembl:misc_RNA Metazoa_SRP Metazoan signal recognition particle RNA
GCCGGGUGUGGUGGCGCACACCUGUAAUCCCAGCACUUAGGAGGCUGAGGCAGGAGGAUCACUGUGAGUUCCAGGACAGCCUGGGCUAUAUAGUGAGUUCAGGGCCAGCCUGAACUACAAAGGGAGACCCUGCCUCAA